UACGUAGGGCGCAAGCGUUGUCCGGAAUUAUUGGGCGUAAAGAGCUCGUAGGCGGUUUGUUGCGUCGGCUGUGAAAACCCGGGGCUCAACUCCGGGCCUGCAGCCGAUACGGGCAGACUAGAGUUCGGCAGGGGAGACUGGAAUUCCUGGUGUAGCGGUGAAAUGCGCAGAUAUCAGGAGGAACACCGGUGGCGAAGGCGGGUCUCUGGGCCGAUACUGACGCUGAGGAGCGAAAGCGUGGGGAGCGAACAGG
rnacentral:rRNA from 1 species